UCGGGGGGGCGUUUACCACGGUAUGAUUCAUGACUGGGGUGAAGUCGUAACAAGGUAACCGUAGGGGAACCUGCGGUUGGAUCACCUCCUUA
rnacentral:rRNA from 1 species